rnacentral:rRNA from 1 species
AAGAAUGGAACAACUCACUAAAAACCAAGCUGUCGCUACUUCCCAAGAAGCUGUUCAGAAUCAGAAUGAGCCGCAACUUCGGGAUGAAAAUGCUCACAAUGACAAAUCUGUCCACGGAGUGCUUAAUCCAACUUACCAAGCUGGGUUACGACGCGACGCCGUUCAACCAGAUAUUGAAGCAGAACGCAAAAAGAGAGAUGAGAUUGAGGCUGGGAAAAGUUACUGUAGCCGACGUUUUGGCGGCGCAACCUGUGACGACAAAUCUGCUCAAAUUUAUGCGCGCUUCGAUAAAAAUGAUUGGCGUAUCCAACCUGCAGAGUUUUAUCGCUUCCAUGAC